CCUACAACGGAGGUGGCGGAACUUUGCGUGUGUGCACGAGGCCUGGAGAUGAAAUGGAGGACUUGGCCUGACGCCAGGUAGUCACUGCUGAGGACCCCAACAACUCUGAACACCUGCGGGCUCUGUUAAGGUCCCAGGGAAAAAUGCAAGCGCUUCGGGGUCAGUUUGUGAUCCACAGAGCUGCGAAGACAGGCGUGACUUGAGUGCUGCGUCCCAGCCUGGGAAUGGAAGGAGAGGAACUAAGGAAGCAGAGCUGUCCCCAGCUGCCCCCCUCCAGGCACAGAAAAUGCACAUAGCUUUUUAAAAAAAAUCAGUUUCCUGUACCACUCUUCUAAGGGUCAAAAGCCACUUUAGGACCAACUGUUCCUUUCACACAGCUAGCAGAUCUUGGGC
rnacentral:lncRNA from 1 species